GGCGGCGUGCCUAAUACAUGCAAGUCGAACGCUUUGUGGUUCAACUGAUUUGAAGAGCUUGCUCAGAUAUGACGAUGGACAUUGCAAAGAGUGGCGAACGGGUGAGUAACACGUGGGAAACCUACCUCUUAGCAGGGGAUAACAUUUGGAAACAGAUGCUAAUACCGUAUAACAAUGACAACCGCAUGGUUGUUAUUUAAAAGAUGGUUCUGCUAUCACUAAGAGAUGGUCCCGCGGUGCAUUAGCUAGUUGGUAAGGUAAUGGCUUACCAAGGCGAUGAUGCAUAGCCGAGUUGAGAGACUGAUCGGCCACAAUGGGACUGAGACACGGCCCAUACUCCUACGGGAGGCAGCAGUAGGGAAUCUUCCACAAUGGGCGAAAGCCUGAUGGAGCAACGCCGCGUGUGUGAUGAAGGGUUUCGGCUCGUAAAACACUGUUGUAAGAGAAGAAUGACAUUGAGAGUAACUGUUCAAUGUGUGACGGUAUCUUACCAGAAAGGAACGGCUAAAUACGUGCCAGCAGCCGCGGUAAUACGUAUGUUCCAAGCGUUAUCCGGAUUUAUUGGGCGUAAAGCGAGCGCAGACGGUUAUUUAAGUCUGAAGUGAAAGCCCUCAGCUCAACUGAGGAAUUGCUUUGGAAACUGGAUGACUUGAGUGCAGUAGAGGAAAGUGGAACUCCAUGUGUAGCGGUGAAAUGCGUAGAUAUAUGGAAGAACACCAGUGGCGAAGGCGGCUUUCUGGACUGUAACUGACGUUGAGGCUCGAAAGUGUGGGUAGCAAACAGGAUUAGAUACCCUGGUAGUCCACACCGUAAACGAUGAGUGCUAGGUGUUUGAGGGUUUCCGCCCUUAAGUGCCGCAGCUAACGCAUUAAGCACUCCGCCUGGGGAGUACGACCGCAAGGUUGAAACUCAAAGGAAUUGACGGGGACCCGCACAAGCGGUGGAGCAUGUGGUUUAAUUCGAAGCAACGCGAAGAACCUUACCAGGUCUUGACAUCCCUUGACAACUCCAGAGAUGGAGCGUUCCCUUCGGGGACAAGGUGACAGGUGGUGCAUGGUUGUCGUCAGCUCGUGUCGUGAGAUGUUGGGUUAAGUCCCGCAACGAGCGCAACCCUUAUUACUAGUUGCCAGCAUUCAGUUGGGCACUCUAGUGAGACUGCCGGUGACAAACCGGAGGAAGGUGGGGAUGACGUCAAAUCAUCAUGCCCCUUAUGACCUGGGCUACACACGUGCUACAAUGGCGUAUACAACGAGUUGCCAACCCGCGAGGGUGAGCUAAUCUCUUAAAGUACGUCUCAGUUCGGAUUGUAGGCUGCAACUCGCCUACAUGAAGUCGGAAUCGCUAGUAAUCGCGGAUCAGCACGCCGCGGUGAAUACGUUCCCGGGUCUUGUACACACCGCCCGUCACACCAUGAGAGUUUGUAACACCCAAAGCCGGUGGGGUAACCUUCGGGAGCCAGCCGUCUAAGGUGGGACAG
rnacentral:rRNA from 2 species